rnacentral:lncRNA from 1 species
UUGAAGAAAAAAAUCUUCUUGUAAGUUUUCCCAGGAAAGGUAGCUCUAUUUCAUAAUCAGGAAAUAUUUUAGCUGGAAACUUUUCUUUCAGGUAUGAAAUUUAUUGUCAUAUUGACAAAAUGCGAUAAAGUCAGCGAACGUGUUAGGGAUGAUACAAGUCAGAUGUUUGAAGACAAAUGCGUACGAGAGUGCAAAGAUAAACUCAUGGCAAUGUUUUCGCUGAGAAGUCAAGCUAUGAUAUACCCAGUAGUUAACUACGUUGAUGCAACUGAUGUGGAUCUCCAAGUUGAUUCUCUAAUCAUAGUGGCAUUCAAGCAAAUACUCAAGUUUGGGAAAGACUAUUUGGAGACAGCUGAGGAAGAAAAUGGUUCGAAUGAGGCAUAGGAUUUCGUCAAUCAACUUAUUUGACUGUAUGCUGAGAAUGUCUGUCUAUUGCGGGUGGAGUGUUUACUGAUAGAUCUAGCGUAUGAUAAUAGUAAACUGUCAACUCAAAUAACUGCAAUAAUUCCAUUUCUUAUCCAAUGCACCCGAUAAGCUUAUGAAGUAUAACACAAACCAUUCAACUAUAAUUCUAGUUUUUGAUCAGUGAUAGUGGCAAAUAUUAUCUAUAAUCAUGAUAACUGCCAUAAACCAAUAUAUUGGGUAAUACCCGCUCUACUCUUGUCCGUACGCGUGUGUAAUACCUUGGUCACAAGAACGCUAUGAGCUCCGUACGAGUAGGUUUUCAGUAGAAUUUUGGCAAAUUCGUACGUUAGCCGUACGGACAUCGGUGACUAUUACGAGCGUCGUACGGGUUUUUGAACUCGUAGAGGACUCGGGAAGUCGAUGAAAAUGUUUUAACCGAGCUCCCGAGAUGUCUAUGAGCUCGUAAAGAUUUUCAAAGUUGGGAGAAGCUCGCAAGAGCCCCGUACGAGAACCGCACGGGUCCUGCAAGAGGUCAUACGAGCAUCGCAAGAUGUCCGUGCGGAUUUCGAAAACUGCGAGGCUUGCUGAUGCUCGCACGACUAUCGCAGGGGACUCGCAUGGUCAACGCACGAUGUCCGUACGAUAUUAAGGACACCAUGCGGAGAACGUGCGAUAUUCGUACGAGACUCGCAGGACCUUGGGAAAGCAGUACGGGCUCAGUAUGACUUCUUUGAUAAUUCAUGAUGGUAUAGAAACAGGAGUAUAUUACAAGUUCCUCCAGGUACUGUCGAGUAGUGGUAUAGAAUGGAGCCACAUCUCCUCAGACUGAUGCACAUGCGGCUCGCGCUGCACCAUGCUGGUGCCCAUCAUGUCAUUCUAUACAUGGCUCUGCUGCUUUAAGAACAACUGAACGUUCGGCGGCGACAGCGGUGACGUAUGUGUUGUGUAAAGCUAUGUUUGCAACAGCGCCUCCUGCUGGGCCAGUAUGAUACCCUCAUGCAGGAAUUAAUGUGCGAGUCACGGAGGAACUUUAAAGGGUUCCUUCGGAUGGAAUCCGAGAUGUUCCUGGAGAUACUGCAGAGAGUUGUACCCCGCAUACGUAAGCGGCGUACAAAAUAUGUAUAAAUAAAUUGUUGUAAAUAUGUGUUGGUAUGUUCAACAUUAUGUAACUAAUUAAAAAUGCUAAAGCAUACAAUAUAGGAGGCAUCUUAACUUACGGUAUCUUAAAUAAUAUUGAUUGAUUAAUAUUGACUUUGGAUGUAAUCUCGCUUCAGCUGAGUAGAAACAAACUGGUCUAUUCCUGUCGCAUGUAUACCGUACGGGCACCGUGCGAGUGCCCUACGAGCCAAAGGACAUAGUACAAGGAAACGGCCGGGCUCCUUGCGAGCUCCGCACGACUUGUCUGCGAUGUCCGUAUGGAUAGCCUACGAUUGCAUUCUCUAAAGAUCGCAUGGGGCCCGUACGUACUGUGACCACACACUACCAUUGUACAGAGAUCGUUAAGGAUUCUAAAACUGUGGACUCUUACGGUUUUUUAAAACCGUAUGGACAUCGUUAAGUCUUGUGACCAAGGUAUAACGUAAUUAAGUAUCUUUGUUGUUGUUUUUCUUUUCUGCGGACGUAGUUUCCGCGGUUUUGCUAUGGCGCUACUGUAAAAAAAGAGCUGUAAAUGUCAUUUUUUAAUGUUUUAACAAGAUUUGUUGUAUUAUGUCAUGCAGAAAUAGAUUUUAUCACGGUAGGUGCAGAUGAAAAUAUGCGACUUGUUUCUGCCUAUACAGUUACCUGCGAGACGAAUUUUCCUAUCUGCACCUACAACUAACGAAAGAAUAUCAUAAAAAACAAAAGAGACUGAGUGUUGAAAGAAUGUAAUGUAAGAUAGUGCCCUUGUCUUCUAGCUUGAAUAUCAUAUUUUAGAAAUCAUCAAAAUUAUAGAGUUUCCGUAUUUUGCAGUCGCGGAUUCCGAGACACUUAUUGUCACGAUGGUAUAAGUUUAAGAAUGCUGUUACAGUGCAAACACUCACAGUUAGGGGCACAUUCAUAAUGCAUAUACUAAUAUUAAUUUAAGUACUAUGUUUAUAUCAGAUAUUGUGCAGACUUGAAGUCGAAUAUUACGAAACAAUAUGAUGCAACUAAUAUAUGUAUUCUCUCUCUCUAUCCUUCUCCCUCUCUGUCUCUCUCCUGUAAUAAGUGUAUUAAUCGGUAUAUUUAAGAGGACCGGCCACGAACGUGUAAAAAUUUUCCUAACAUAUUGAUCUAAACUUAAAAACAAUUCAUUCUGAUAGUUUCAAAUUAAUAGUUUAUAUUUGAUAUUUUACCAAAUUUUUUUUAAAAAGCAAAAUUAGUUUUACAUGAAUUAAAUGUAAGAUGAAAAUACGAUAAAGUUGACCUUUUCCAAAUGUUUGGUACCAAAAGGACAACUUUACAUCGUGCGAAAAAUGAAAAGUAAUUAUAUUGUGUGUUGUGUUUAUACUAUUGCUUUAUGUGAUUUCAAGGUUUAUAAACACAAAUUAAUUCUGCAUAUCUUAAAGGAAACGUACGUAAAAUAUCAAUUUAUAUUCAUGUAUUACCGUUUAUGCAUCGCAAGAACAAUACAUUUAAAGCUACAGUGCUGUCUUGUACUGUGAAUUAUAUUUAAAACAGAUUGAUAUUUGCGUGUACAUGCCGCUUUUAUGCAAGCUAACCUACCAUUUCGUUUCAAAAAUCUCCAUCAAAAUUAAUUGUUUCCUAAAAUGUUCAAAUUUUGUAUCUAUUUUAUUGAAAAUGUGCAAGUUCAGUGGCACUUUUCUCGAGAUUUAUCUCGUAUGAGCUAAUGCAUUCAAAAAACAAAUGACUUAUACAUAAAUUCAACUUUUAUUUUGUAACUACUUCUGCAAAACAUAAGACUUAGAAUUACGCUUUGAGUAACAAAGACCAAACAAUACCAAAUCAUAGAAAGAAAGAGUUGUUUAACAUGAAAAUUGAACAGCAAUUAAAACAUGAAUAUUACUUUACGAAACAAGUGUCAGUUUACUGAUAUAUACAUUAAAUUCCGGGAAAGGACUGCCUAAAGGUGCUUUACUUCCGGACAGUCAAACGCCUUUAAAAUCAUACGCCUUACACACGUUCGCAAAUAUGGGUGUGAAACCUCUGCUGGAGUGUAUAACUCUUUUAUGACAGAAAGUCUCCAGCCGGCUAACGUAAUAUCGAUGGUUCUACACAGAUGUAUGGAGAAAUAUCAAGAGUACAAGAGAACGACUAAAAUAGAAUUUGUGCCACCUCGUCUGUUCAUUUUUCCCUACAGUGUCCAUCGUCUUUCUAAGAAGCAUGCGUCGUUCCUGCUUAGAUUCAACGUGUAAUCCUUUUCUCGCUCUCCUGAACUGGUAAAUUGCAUAUGUGUUUGUCCAGAAGUAGUUUCAUACUUUAUAAAUAGACAAAUUAUAAUCCAGGGGAGAUAGCAUACGACUAAAUCCUAUAUUUUUUCAUAAAUACUUUAUUACUCAUACAAUGUUACUUUGUUGGUUUGCAUUUGCAAUAAUAACAGAAGUUGAUGUAAAUACAAAAUACUAGCUGUUCUUGGCUACCCGUGAAACGGGAGAUAAAACUGUAGCAUGGUAAUACAAAGCUUGAUGGAUUUAUGUAUCUUUCCGUGUUUUACUGAAUCAUUUGCGUUAACGAGGAAAUUUUGUUUGUGAUUUGCCUUUUGACUGUCUGUCUGUACACGUUUUUCUAUGUUAAAUAACCAAAAUACCAGACGCAUAACUAUGAUCGCGACAGAUAUUUGUAUACUAGCUGUACUUAUGUUUUUAAUGGAUUUGUUUGUUUUGAUAUGUAUAUAUUAAUAUGAGUUUUAUCAUUUUAUGACCGGUACCAUUGAUUGUUUGUCUACUGUCUGAUUGUCUGAUAGGUUUCUUGUUUUUUUUAGGAUUUAGAAUAUCGUUCUUAACUGGUUUGUUACAAACGUAUAAUGACAUGAUUUUGUAAGCUUUGGUAGAUUUUAUUUUUAAAUUGCAAGGUUAUUAUUCAUGUUGUCAGGGGAUAUAGAGAAAAAUUCUGGACUUUACAUUACUGAGGCAUGCUUGACAAUAUGUUUUUAAUUGGUAGCUAUAGUUUAAAAUAAAAUACAUAUUUCGAGACUUUA